rnacentral:rRNA from 1 species
AACGAACGCUGGCGGCAGGCCUAACACAUGCAAGUCGAGCGAGGACUUCGGUCCUAGCGGCGGACGGGUGAGUAACGCGUGGGAACGUGCCCUUUGCUUCGGAAUAGCCCUGGGAAACUGGGAGUAAUACCGGAUGAGCCCUUUGGGGGAAAGAUUUAUCGGCGAAGGAUCGGCCCGCGUUGGAUUAGGUAGUUGGUGGGGUAAUGGCCUACCAAGCCGACGAUCCAUAGCUGGUUUGAGAGGAUGGUCAGCCACACUGGGACUGAGACACGGCCCAGACUCCUACGGGAGGCAGCAGUGGGGAAUCUUAGACAAUGGGGGAAACCCUGAUCUAGCCAUGCCGCGUGAGCUAUGAAGGCCUUAGGGUUGUAAAGCGCUUUCAGCUGGGAAGAUAAUGACGGUACCAGCAGAAGAAGCCCCGGCUAACUCCGUG